CAGGUCUUGACAUCCCUCUGACCGCUCUAGAGAUAGAGCUUUCCUUGGGGACAUAGGUGACUGGUGGUGCAUGGUUGUCUUCAGCUCGUGUCGUGAGAUGUUGGGUUGACUCCCACCACGAGCGCAACCCCUAUUGUUAUCUUGCCAUCAUUUAGUUGGGCACUCUAUGGAGACUGCCGGUAAUAAACCGGAGGAAGGGGGAGAGGACUUCAAAUCUUCAUGCCCCUUAUGACCUGGGCUACUCACGUGCUACAACGGCUGGUACCACGAGUCGCAAGUGUGUGACGGCGAGCUAAUCUCUUACAGCCUCUCUCACUUCGGAUUGUAUGCUGCCACUCGCCUA
rnacentral:rRNA from 1 species